AGAAUGACCAAGCAGGGGAGAUAUCGUGAUCAUGAAGGUGCUUCUCUCAGGGAGAGGCUUACCCAUGCAAUCAUUAUGGGUUGAGUCCUGCGAGUUUCCCCUCACAUCGUACAAUUUGUGGAAAUGUCCACACUGCACU
rnacentral:snRNA from 1 species